AGCAUAUAUGAGAGGAAGAUACGGAAGACAGACACAUGUCCACAUCCUUUACUGAACAUACUGACAGCCACCCAGAAUGCUUAGCAGCAGUUCUAAUUGCCUAGGAAUGGCAGGACAGUGGGCAAUGGAGGUGAAUAGGCCAUUCAAAAGACUUUAAUGGAAGAUGAAAUCCAAACAUUGGCUGGCCUCUUCACUCUAUCACUGUAAACUCUGAAGAGAAAUAUUGGACUAUGAGUCCUCUCUUAAGGACAUGUUUCUCAAGCAUGUGAAAUUACAUGUAAUA